rnacentral:lncRNA from 1 species
AAGAAGUGAUCGAUCCAUAGGUAUAUAAGUGUUCAAACCCCCUACCCACCCUCCAAACAACCUCGUACCCUAUCUCUCACCCCCUCACCCUCAGAAACCCUAGCACCACCAUAAACCGCCGGCCGAAAAUCUUCUUCGCCGGCGGCGAUCACCCAAAGGCUACCAAAUUUACACCGAUUGACCGCUUCACCCUCCUCUAUCCAAAUAUGCAACCACCUUCCCUCGAAUAUUACAAGAUUUCCUCGAAUAUCACUUUGAAAUAUGGAUUCCACCACCGUGUACGGUAGCGCCGCUUCAAAAUCACCCUAUAUUGAUACCAAAUUUCCUCUUCGCCUCCCUCGUGAUAAAUUCGCAAAUGGUUUCCUUCAAAUGCUGCUGCAAAGGCUCGAAUUUCAGAUUGAGAUUCUAACCUAAAAGCCCUAGCUUGUGCGUAAAGAUUUUUUAGGUUUUCCGGUGAGUCCGAACCCCAUUCUCCUUAGCUUCUGAGUUUUUGUUUUGUUAAGGAAAAAUUGCAAUCGAUUUGGUUGUCUUCCCUUUCUUCCUCUCUGAUUCUUUCUUACUUGGCUUGCCCAUUCGAAUUCAGUUAAGUGUUAAUGGAAACUUGCAUGUGUAAAUAGUCCUGAAAUUAAAACCAGUAGAUUUUGUUUUCAUUAUCCAGUUGUUUUACAUUGUUAAAUUGUAUAAAAGGUUUAGUUAUUGUGCUUUACCUUUAAUUGCAUGAUCAUGUACAAUUCCUAGUUUUUAACUUUAGGAUACUUAGGUUUGUUUGGGGGUUUGUAUUUCAGGGGUUUGUGAUUCAGGGAUUUUUAUUUUUUUAAUUUAAAGGUUCAAUUGAGGAAUUAAUUCAUGCGUCUUGCUUAAUCAUGGGUUUAAAAUUCCGCCAUGUAAAGCCCAAAAAUAAAACAGUUCAAUUCAAGACUUGAAGGACCCAUUAGGAUUUUGCCUUGGGUCAAAUUGACCCAGGUAGGUAAUGAUGUAAUUAAUAAUGCUUAAAAGGGUAUUUAGAGCAAUACAAACAUAGAAUCUUUUCAUAACUAGGAUAAGAUACUUCUAGUAGGGGUUAUCGGCUAAUUUCAAGCUUUAAAACUAGGUCUGCAAGUCAAAAAUCGAGAGACUGUAAUGCAAACUAAUUUUCAACAAAGAUGCCCUAAUCUUUGCUUAUAAAGGCAUUCCAAAACUUGCCUGUUAGGGGAUUGAUUUUGAUAGAAAAAAAGGGUGCUUAUAAGUUCGAGGGAAAAGUUCUGAAUAGAUUAGAGUUUUUUUCGAGUAACAAUAGAUCAGAAAAGAGUAAAAUAUACAGAAAAAUUGGUUGUUGUUUCAUUGAUGUUUGAGAUUGGUUUCAAGAGUUUUCGAGUUUAAAUUUGGUUACCUUUUGGGUCGUGGCAUACUGCUUGGAUUUUUGAUUGAUUUCAAUUGAAUUCAAGGCUAAUUUACCCGUUAAUACUGCAAUCAACACAUAGCUACCACUACUGACCUCAUUUUAUUCUUAUUCUCUUUGUACUACCAGGUACUUUUCUCUUUAAAUCCUGUUGGAUAUAUGUGCUACAUUGAAUAUGAAGUGAGAAGUUUGAAAUCAUCACAAUUGCAUUUGUUUUUGUCAUUUUCGAUUCUCUUAAUAAUAUUUAUAUGCUUAGUUAUUGGAUUCAAUGUAAUUCAGUUAGUAUCAGUUGGAUUAAUCAGCUUAUCAUGUUAUAAUGGACUGCUGGUCAAGCCUGGAUCAGGGGCUGAAUAUGUGUUUAAGUUGUGUUAGCUAAAUAUGUAUCAUUAUGGGACUGUUAAAAUGCCGUGACAAUGAGCACUAUUUGAGCGUUUGAAUUUAGUUACAAUUUUGAGGUAGUUGUGUCUGGUUAGUGAUAGUUUUUUUGUUGUUGAAAUAAUUCUAUGGUCUAGUUUAUGUGCUUGAAUUUAAAAUCAACAACUCAAAGAUUAAAAUAACCAUACUGUAAUAUGCUAUACAGGGAUUAAGUGUUCAUCAUAUGAAUGAGUCAUGUUUUUGAUAACCUGCAGUUAUACCACUCUUU